GAUGAACGCUGGCGGCGUGCCUAAUACAUGCAAGUCGAACGCUGAAGCUUGGUGCUUGCACCGAGCGGAUGAGUUGCGAACGGGUGAGUAACGCGUAGGUAACCUGCCUCUUAGCGGGGGAUAACUAUUGGAAACGAUAGCUAAUACCGCAUAAAAGUCGAUAUCGCAUGAUAUUGAUUUGAAAGGUGCAAAUGCAUCACUAAGAGAUGGACCUGCGUUGUAUUAGCUAGUUGGUGAGGUAACGGCUCACCAAGGCGACGAUACAUAGCCGACCUGAGAGGGGGAUCGGCCACACUGGGACUGAGACACGGCCCAGACGCCUACGGGAGGCAGCAGUAGGGAAUCUUCGGCAAUGGGGGCAACCCUGACCGAGCAACGCCGCGUGAGUGAAGAAGGUUUUCGGAUCGUAAAGCUCUGUUGUAAGAGAAGAACGAGUGUGAGAGUGGAAAGUUCACACUGUGACGGUAACUGACCAGAAAGGGACGGCUAACUACGUG
rnacentral:rRNA from 1 species